UCUCUCAUCUUUCUUCCCUAAUAAACAAAAACAUUCCUUUUUUUGUUGUUAUGGAUUUCCUAAAAUAUAAAGAUAGAUGAACUGUUUGGAUUUUACUAUAAAACAGGUUUGAUUUAGCUGAAAGAUUUUCGGAAUAUUUUUUUUUGAGGUUGAACGGUUGAAUCUGGGGUAAUGAGAAGAUCCAAUGGCUGUUAGUGAAUGUAUAUGUCGAUCCAAACAUUUUAAUUUUCCUUGUUAAGAAGUAUCUUGGAUGUAAUUUUCGAUUUCGGGGGAGAAUAAUAUUUUCACUUAUUUGGAAAGAAGAUAUGGAUAAACAGAAGAACCUUAAUUCUAUAUCAAAAUCAGAGAAAUUCAAAUUAAGAAACCAUUUCGAUUUUGGUUAAUCUUCAAAUUUUUUUGGGGCCAUGUAAAUCAAAAGGAAAAAAAGUUGGGUGGUAUUCUUUCCCGCUUGAUCUUCCAUUUUCUCUACUAUAAAUACAACCCCAAAGUUGUGAAGUUAUCAAAAGAUACUAAUUGAAGGUGAAACAUGGUUAACAACAAUGAACAACCAGCUCUAGCAACAUCAUCUUCUGAGGGCACAACACCCACAUCAAGAAAAGUGAGGGGUCCGAGAAAGAGGGCUGAAGCUAGAUGCAUUGACUGUAGCCAAUAAAGGAAAGCUUUGUGUUAACUUCUCAUAAUUAUAAGAAAAGUCGGACUGCGAAAUGCUAGUCCACUCGCAAGCGAGUGUGGGGUAAUUGUUCGCUCCCUUGCCUCGUUACGACACAAGUCAUGGACCAAAAUACCUCUCCGCGAGAGAGAUGCAUUGAUUGAAAGCCUCAAGGUAAUGCAUUUCUGAAAGAAGACAGUGAAAAGGUCAUAAGAAAACUGGAAGAUAUGAUGAUACGUUCUCUCGGGCUGAACAACAUUACCGCGUGGAACUAAAAGUUGAAUGUAGUCACAUUAAUAAUUUGGUGUUUAGUAUUUUUUUUCUCUUUUCUAGUAGUGAUGUUUAUUUAUUCAUUUACUGGUAGAGUUUAUUUAUCAGAUUUUUUUUAGUUUGGAUUUUGUAUUAACAAUUUAUUUUAAUGGGCAAUUAUUUUUUAUUCAA